rnacentral:rRNA from 1 species
ACCUUAAAGCUAGCCUACACAACCAAUUUAACCAGACCUUAUAAAUCUAAUUUACACUUUUAACCCUUUACUUAAAACAUUUUAACUUUUUAGUAUGGGCGACAGAACGAAAUCUCAGCGCAAUAGCUCAUGUACCGCAAGGGAAGGCUGAAAAAGAAAUGAAAUAAAUUAUUAAAGUAAUAAAAAGCAGAGACUCCACCUCGUACCUUUUGCAUCAUGGUUUAGCUAGAAAAACUAGGCAAAAAGACUUUAAGUCUACCCCCCCGAAACUAAACGAGCUACUCCGGAGCAGCAUUAUUAGAGCCAACCCGUCUCUGUGGCAAAAGAGUGGGAAGACUUCCGAGUAGCGGUGAAAAGCCUACCGAGUUUAGUGAUAGCUGGUUACCCAAGAAAAGAACUUUAGUUCUGCAUUAAUUUUUUUAAAACUAAAUAAGAACUUCUAAUUAAAGUAAAAUAUAAGAAUUAAUAGUUAUUUAGAAGAGGUACAGCCCUUCUAAAUUAAGAUACAACUUUUAAAGGUGGAAAAUGAUCAUAAUUAUUAAGGCUUUACCCCCCAGUGGGCCUAAAAGCAGCCACCUGAAAAGCAAGCGUCGCAGCUCCAGCCUUACACAAGCCAAUAAUUUAGGUAUUUAUUCAUACCCCCCUUAGUCCUAUUGGGUUAUUUUAUAAAAAUAUAAAAGAACUUAUGCUAAAAUGAGUAAUAAAGAGAAUAUAUCUCUCCCGACACAAGUAUACAUCAGAGAGAAUUAAAUCACUGAUAAUUAAACGACCCCAAAUUGAGGCCAUUAUAAACUAAUAUUAUUUACUAGAAAAGCCUAUUUUAUUGCUCGUUAAUCCUACUCAGGGGUGUCUUUAGGAAAGAUUAAAAGAAAAUAAAGGAACUCGGCAAAUACAAGCUCCGCCUGUUUACCAAAAACAUCGCCUCUUGUUAAACCAUAAGAGGUCCCGCCUGCCCUGUGACAAUGUUCAACGGCCGCGGUAUUUUGACCGUGCAAAGGUAGCGUAAUCACUUGUCUUUUAAAUAAAGACCCGUAUGAAAGGCAUCACGAGAGCUUAACUGUCUCUAUUUUCUAAUCAAUGAAAUUGAUCUAUUCGUGCAGAAGCGAAUAUAAUAACAUUAGACGAGAAGACCCUAUGGAGCUUCAAACACUUAGACUAAUUAUGUAAUUUUUUUUCAUCUGAGGGUAUAAACAAAAAUAUAAUAUUUCUAGUUUAACUGUUUUUGGUUGGGGUGACCAAGGGGAAAAACAAAUCCCCCUUAUCGACCAAGUACUCAGUACUUAAAAAUUAGAGCGACAGCUCUAAUUAAUAAAACUUUUAUCGAAAAAUGACCCAGGAUUUCCUGAUCAAUGAACCAAGUUACCCUAGGGAUAACAGCGCAAUCCUUUCCCAGAGUUCCUAUCGACGAAAG